CUCUGUUUCUCUCCUUACCCAUAUCUACCAUUCUCCCCGCCUGCAUCUCCCCAUCUCCCUUGCUAUUGCUGAGUCUCUGGCUUUCCCUCUCUGCCUUGCUGUGUAUUUCUGUGUCCCGCCUGCCGUAUCUUCCCACACCUCUUUGUCUCUGUGACUCCUCUCUGUUCGUCUCUCUGCCUUGGUUUCUGUGUGGCCUUCCUCAUCUUCACUUUCUUUGGCCUUCUGUAUGCCUCUCUGUCUCUGUUCUCUCUGUCUCUGUUUCUCUGUCUCCCUCUCUCUGGGCCCCGCCUUGCCCAACUCUCCCAGUCGAGGAGCGCAACUUUGCUGAGUUCAACUUCAUCAACGAGCAGAACUUGGAGCUGGAGCAUGUGCAGGAAGAGAUCAAGGAGAUGCAGGAGGCUUUGGUGAGCGCACGUGCCAGCAAGGAUGACCAGCAUUUGCUGCAGGAGCAGCAGCAGAAGGUGUUGCAGCAGCGCGUGGACAAGGUGCACUCGGAGGCUGAGCGCCUUGAGGCCCGCUUCCAGGAUGUGCGGGGACAGCUGGAGAAGCUCAAGGCUGGCUGGAGUGCAAUGGCAUGAUCUCGGCUCACUGCAACCUCCGCUUCCUGGGUUCAAGCGAUUCUCCUGCCUCAGCCUCUCCAGUAGCUGGGACUACAGAUAUCCAGCUCCUCUUCACCAAGGCCCAUUGCGACAGCAGCAUGAUCGAUGACCUCCUUGGGGUCAAGACCAGCAUGGGAGACCGGGACAUGGGCCUCUUCAUGAGCCUCAUUGAGAAGCGGCUGGUGGAGCUCCUGACAGUGCAGGCCUUCCUACAUGCCCAGGUGGGAGGCAGCAGGGAGCCGGGACAGGAGGCUGGUCUCGGGGGUGGCCCAGCUGACCGCAGGCUCCCACACUCUCCAGAGCUUCACCUCCCUGGCCGACGCUGCCCUCCUAGUGCUGGGCCAGAGCCUGGAGGACCUUCCGAAGAAGAUGGCCCCACUUCAGCCCCCUGACACUCUGUGAGGCGCAGGGCAGGAGAGAAGACCCCCCGGGUUUUGAGGCCAGCGAUGACUACCCCAUGAGCAGGGAGGAGCUGCUGAGCCAAGUGGAGAAGCUGGUGAGAGUGGGGCCUGCGGGGGUGGGGCCAGGCCUCAGUGUGUGUCGGGGCCCAGCUCACCUUCCCUGCAGGUGGAGCUCCAGGAGCAGGCGGAGGCGCAGCGCCAGAAGGACCUGGCCGCCGCCGCCGCGAAGCUGGACGGCACCCUGAGCGUGGACCUGGCCAGCACCCAGAGGGCCGGCUCCAGUACCGUCCUGGUGCCCACCAGGCACCCCCAUGCCAUCCCCGGGUCCAUUUUGAGCCACAAGACUAGCAGAGACCGUGGCUCUCUUGGCCGCGUCACUUUUGGCGGCCUCAGCUCCAGCACUGGGCAUUUGCCCAGCCACAUCACGCACGGUGACCCCAACACUGGCCACGUGACCUUCGGCUCCACCAGUGCCUCGAGUGGGGGCCACGUGACCUUCAGACCCGUCAGCGCCAGCAGCUACCUGGGCUCCACUGGAUACGUGGGGUCCAGCAGGGGCGGAGAAAACACAGAGGGUGGUGUGGAGAGCGGAGGCACAGCGUCGGAUUCGAGCGGAGGCCUCGGGUCCAGCAGAGACCACGUCUCCAGCACCGGCCCUGCCUCCAGCACUGGCCCGGGCUCCUCCACCAGCAAAGACUCCCGGGGCUAACACGAGGGGCACGCAGCCCCCACCCUGCCCUGGCUCUCUGUGGGGUCUUUUUUUGUGUCUCUACUUCCCCUGUUUGCCUUGUGGGUCUCUGUCUUUUUCUCCCAGUGGCAGGCCUCUGUCUUUUUGCCCCUUCAACUGUUUUCAUCUGCCCUUCAUCACCGCCUCACCUAUGUCUCCCGGUUCCUUUCUCUCUGCUCCUGACCCUGCUUUUCCCUCUGACUCCUGAUCUCCUGUUCUCUGGGCUUCCUGGUCAGUGUCUGUCCGUCUUGUCUCCAUAUCUGCCCCUUCACUGUCUGCUGAGCCCUGGCCCCCUGUGGAUCCCCCACCUCCUGUUUCCGGCUCACUCUCCUCAUCUCCAUCUCCCAGGCUCUCCACGCAUCUUGUGUCCCUGUCUCUGUAGCUCCUUACUCCCCAAGAGCCCCCCAGUGCUGACAGGUGUGGGAAAAGUCAGGGCGAAGAUGCCAGGUUCAGCAUGGGAAAAUGGGACUGUGGAAAUAAAGUAUAUGUGUGGA
rnacentral:sRNA from 1 species